rnacentral:rRNA from 1 species
AGUGAACGCUGGCGGUAGGCCUAACACAUGCAAGUCGAACGGCAGCACAGUAAGAGCUUGCUCUUACGGGUGGCGAGUGGCGGACGGGUGAGGAAUACAUCGGAAUCUACUUUUUCGUGGGGGAUAACGUAGGGAAACUUACGCUAAUACCGCAUACGACCUACGGGUGAAAGCAGGGGAUCUUCGGACCUUGCGCGAUUGAAUGAGCAGAUGUCGGAUUAGCUAGUUGGGGGGGUAAAGGCCCACCAAGGCGACGAUCCGUAGCUGGUCUGAGAGGAUGAUCAGCCACACUGGAACUGAGACACGGUCCAGACUCCUACGGGAGGCAGCAGUGGGGAAUAUUGGACAAUGGGCGCAAGCCUGAUCCAGCCAUACCGCGUGGGUGAAGAAGGCCUUCGGGUUGUAAAGCCCUUUUGUUGGGAAAGAAAAGCAGCAGGUUAAUACCCCGCUGUUCUGACGGUACCCAAAGAAUAAGCACCGGCUAACUUCGUG